rnacentral:lncRNA from 1 species
GAAAAGGCUUUCUGUCUGGCUCUAUAUCUAUCACACAAUGUAUCCCAACUCUGGCUGAUUCAUAUUUCAUGGAUCCUGAAGGCACAAGUCUGGUAGGACUCAGAUAAAUCACCUAUUUUAAUGCACACGGUAUUGAAACGCACACACACACACACACACACAAACACACACACACACACACACACACACACACGUACACACACUCCCAGACAGUGACAUCAGAGAAGGGUGCAUUAGAAAACAAACGUUUCUCUGAGGUGAGGACAGUGUGUGUGGUUCUGAGGUGAGGACAGUGUGUGUGGUUCUGAGGUGAGGACAGUGUGUGUGGUUCUGAGGUGAGGACGGUGUGGUUCUGAGGUGAGGACGGUGUGUGUGUGGUUCUGAGGUGAGGACGGUGUGUGUGGUUCUGAGGUGAGGACGGUGUGUGUGUGGUUCUGAGGAGAGGAUGGCGUGUGUGUGGUUCUGAGGCGAGGACUGUGU